CUCUCCGUGGUUUAGUGGUCGAACGUUGGGCUCCCGAUCCGGAGGUCCCGGGUUCGAAUCCCGGUGGAGACA